UGCGGCUGCGUCGAUCUUUUAGUGGAGAGAAAAGAUUCUAGCUAGCGCAAACUGACGGCGAACUUCCAGAGCUUAAAUGGCAGCCAUUUUUAAAUAAUGCUAAAAAAUGGAGACGCAGGAGCAGUUCGGUGGAAGCUGAGGGUUUAAACUCACUGUUUCCCACGGAGCAGUGAGUUAGCUGGGGCUACUUGGCGAGCUAACGCUGCUAAAGAGCCACAUCACCAAACACUCCCGGAAACAGAACUUUCUCCGCUCUGAUUGGACAGCCGGGAUCUGUAAGAGACCGUUGAUAAAUUUAAAGGCGUACACACCUCUUUUCUCCUCGGGGAGUGUCUGACUAAAUCUACCAACUCAAACACGGCGAAUGAUGACAAUUUAACUUAACUUACACAGUUUGUAAUGAUGGCAAGACAUGACCAAAGACUCAAGCUGAUCGUGAACCAUGGGAAGCAGUUGGGAAGGAGUCUGCUCCUCUUGGCCCGCUACACUUUGCUGUUUGGGGAGUAUUGUGGCCAUUUUGUUCAGGGGAUAGUGGCGGCCUUGAAGUGGACCAGCGUGUUUGCAAGGACCACAGCAUCAGUUUUUGACUUCAUCUACCAGCAUCUGCACUGGGGGAAGAGGACAACCGUCGUAAGCACCAAGGAGAUCUGCUUGGACCGGUGACUUUUAAAACAGACUGACCAUGAUGGAAACUUGGACCUCAACAAACUGUGAUAGUUGAAUAUUUGUGAAUACGAUUACAUAUCUGAUGUUUUCAGUUAUUUAUCUACCUGCUGAUAUGACGACUUCAGGUGUGUCACAGGGCAAUACCACACCCCUCUGACCCCCCACCAAAAUAUAUACACAAGAUAAUGUAAUAACCUUGUAACAUUUUUUGUAAACACUUUAUACUGUAAUUAAAUUUUUUAAAUAAGUUUUGUUUUUAUUUUGACAUCUAAUUUCAUGUGACAGCUACUAUUAAUUUAGUUUAAAAAUCCAUAAUGGAAAUCUAAUGUCUUAACUCACAUCUUCACAGUUGUUGUGGAUGGUGAUGCUGUUUGGCAGGAAGGAUCUCCAGCAGCAGUCAAUCAUCCAUUGAAUCUGAAGAGGCCUCUGACUGAAGACUGUUUGACAUGCUAGCAUUUCAACAUCUGGGCAGCAGAGAUGCUAUUCCACAGCAACAUGUCCUGGAUGACGGCAUCAGUUGUCAUCCAGGCGUACACAUCAGUUGUUAUCAAACACGGCUAAUUCACCUCAUUUCAGAGGGAUGUUGGAGUAGGGGAUACAAUAUACUUUAUGAUAAAUAGGAGAGACGGUUUGGACUUCCUCCUUUUCUCUUUCUGUUUUUAUUGGUCCAUGAAAUCUCUUUGUUGUAAUUCAGGUUUUAUCUGAGCUUUAGAGAUGCCAACCAGCUGCUACCCGGUUUAAAAAAAAACUCUAAAUCGUCCAAAAGUAAAAAAUAAAAAGAGAAGAAAUACUUCCAGCUGCGCAGAAUCUACAAGAAGGAAUGACUGUUCAACAUAUCAGCAAAUAGACAAAGAACAAAUGGAAACAAAGGGAAUAAAUCGUAACUCCAACGUCCUUCUAGCAAAACAAACUGGUGAAAACAUGCAUUUCAUUGUUUUUUAAAAUGACUUCCACUUGACAGGUGCACUAUUUUCUCCUCCCGACACUGAGACCAGAUGGUUUGCUGUGGUUCCUGAACUCUCAGUGUGCUGUAUUGAAAUAAACGUCUUCACUAAUCGCCUGUAAUCUCAUUUACCUUUGGAACAAAACACAAUUAAAGCUGCAAAUGACCUCGAAAA